GAACGCCGUAGCAAUACGGAGUGGCAGACGGGUGAGUAACACGUGGGAACAUGCCCUUCGGUUCGGAAUAACUCAGGGAAACUUGAGCUAAUACCGGAUACGUCCAAGGCAACUUGGAGAAAGAUUUAUCGCCGAUGGAUUGGCCCGCGUCUGAUUAGCUAGUUGGUGGGGUAAUGGCCCACCAAGGCGACGAUCAGUAGCUGGUCUGAGAGGAUGAUCAGCCUCACUGGGACUGAGACACGGCCCAGACUCCUACGGGAGGCAGCAGUGGGGAAUAUUGGACAAUGGGCGCAAGCCUGAUCCAGCCAUGCCGCGUGGGUGAUGAAGGCCCUAGGGUUGUAAAGCCCUUUCGGCGGGGAAGAUAAUGACGGUACCCGCAGAAGAAGCCCCGGCUAACUUCGUG
rnacentral:rRNA from 1 species